rnacentral:rRNA from 1 species
AGUGAACGCUGGCGGUAGGCCUAACACAUGCAAGUCGAACGGCAGCACAGUAAGAGCUUGCUCUUACGGGUGGCGAGUGGCGGACGGGUGAGGAAUACAUCGGAAUCUACUUUUUCGUGGGGAUAACGUAGGGAAACUUACGCUAAUACCGCAUACGACCUACGGGUGAAAGCAGGGGAUCUUCGGACCUUGCGCGAUUGAAUGAGCCGAUGUCGGAUUAGCUAGUUGGCGGGGUAAAGGCCCACCAAGGCGACGAUCCGUAGCUGGUCUGAGAGGAUGAUCAGCCACACUGGAACUGAGACACGGUCCAGACUCCUACGGGAGGCAGCAGUGGGGAAUAUUGGACAAUGGUCGCAAGCCUGAUCCAGCCAUACCGCGUGGGUGAAGAAGGCCUUCGGGUUGUAAAGCCCUUUUGUUGGGAAAGAAAAGCAGCAGGUUAAUACCCCGCUGUUCUGACGGUACCCAAAGAAUAAGCACCGGCUAACUUCGUG